AGGCAGGGACCCAGGGAGAAGCAGGCUCCCUGCGGGGCCCCUUGCGGGAGGCGUUGCGGAGGCUGGGACCACGCCCUGAGCCAAGCCGGAUGCUCAGCCACUGAGCACCCAGGCGUCCCUCUGGGGGCUUUUCAAAGAUGUUUUGCUCCGUGUCCUGGCGCAGAGCUGCCCAGAAAAACGGCCUACAGGCAGGUGUGAUGGUAUCACUUCAGAGAGAUGGCAAUUGAAAGCUUCUAUUGGGCGUCUCCUUCAACCUUGAAGUUACAGCCAGGAGACAGGUGUUUCAGAUAACAGUGGGAGUAUAACCAUAUGUAUGACACCUGCCUGUGCAUGACAUCAUGUGGACACUAAGAUCUGACUUCCAUUCUUUUUUUGGAGGAUUCUUGAAUUAUGUGAGUGUUGGGGAGAAGCAGAGCCUCAUCUCUAAUCAUAAAGAUAAAAAGCCAAAUAAACACCUCUAGGUUAUGAUCCUACCUAUGACUCUGAAUCUUGAAGGAAUAAAGCUGCAGUUGAGAAAUUAUUCACAAGAGCAAUAGCAAACCCUCAAGGGUCCAGCAAAGGCAGAGGCAAAAUGCCCACUGAUGUACUGCCAGUACAGCAUCCUAAUCACAUUUCCUGCAACAUCCCAAUCGGAUUUUCCUGAACACAUCCCAGUGUCCAACAAUGCCUGGGUCUUUGUGACUCCUGUGCAUUUUCCAGUCCUGGAAUUUCAACCUUCUCACUGAUCCAACAGCUUUCGCUUUCUCUUGAAAUGAACCUGAGCAUUUCUCUUGCUUACUUCCAGGAAUCCUAAUUGCCAGAUGGCAUUCAACAGUUUGUCAAACUCUCAUGGAUAAAGAAAGCACUUCACUGGUUUUUAUGUUGGGAGCAAACUGAAUUAACCCCUCUUUUUGCCCCAGCUAUCUCUCCCCUCCUUUAUCCCUCCACAGAUUUGCAAAAAGCAUAGCGCAUAUGAACUUUAGCUCCUGAUGCUAAAACAAUUUGUUUUUAUAUUUGCCUUAUGACUCCUUUUAUUUCAAAUGGGGACUCCUAUGUUCGUAAAAGAGAUUCCCUGAGGGAGGGUUGAGGGAGACUGGAAGAAAUUCUCAUAUGCUUAUCAAUGAGUCUGUGCCUAAUGCUUUCCAGUUUAUAGGCAUGCUGAUAAGAAAACAAAUUGAAAAAUGCAGAAUGUGGAACCAGCCUUGGCUAUCUCCCAUGCACAUUUCCCACAGCUCUAGACUCUAUUUCACUUCAGGCAAUUUCAAGGCAUCCUUGGCCACAAAUGAAGAAAUAUAGGUGUUUGUUUGGCUGUGUUUUCUGUUGUUGUUUUUGUUGUUGUUUUUAACAAUACAGAAAUAUCCAAUUUUUUCACUAUAGCCUCCAAAAAUAGUGGAUAUCAGUAAAAUGAGCAUGGAAAAGUUGACUUAACAAUGGAAUGUCUAUGUCCAGAAUCAAUUUGUUUAUUCUAGUUAAUGUUCUUAUGAACUCAAAUUUAAGUACAAUGAUAAACUGAGGAUGAGCAUCAUAUACAUUCAAGCAUAACCUGGGAUUCAGAAUAAAAGCACCUGAAAUAUUCCCCUGCUCCCUAAAGUUCUAUAGAAAUGGCUGUCCCUCUUAUGCUUUAGUUAAUCUGCCUGCUGCAAUGGGGUAUAAUUAAACCCUACCUGUGACGUAUGCAUACCUGCAGCACAAGACAGCAUAAGAUAGUAUAAUAACUUUUUAUUUUGUGGAUGAAAGUAUGUAAGAAGGUGUGUAAAAGAGCAUUUUCUUGUGGAGGCUGAGAAAAUUAAGGCCAUUCCACCUUAAGUUCAGCGUUAGCAUAAGUACAGCUGUCUCAAGCCCCUGUGAAUAAGAGCUGAACUUUACCUUACUUCAG